rnacentral:rRNA from 1 species
AGAGUUUGAUCCUGGCUCAGGAUGAACGCUAGCGGCAGGCUUAACACAUGCAAGUCGAGGGGUAACAGGAGUAGCAAUACUUGCUGACGACCGGCGCACGGGUGAGUAACGCGUAUGCAACCUACCUCUAACUGAGGAAUAGCCCGGAGAAAUCCGGAUUAAUACUUCAUAAUAUUUCGAAUUCGCAUGUUUUCGAAAUUAAAGCUUUGGCGGUUAGAGAUGGGCAUGCGUGACAUUAGUUAGUUGGUGAGGUAACGGCUCACCAAGACUGCGAUGUCUAGGGGGUCUGAGAGGAUGGUCCCCCACACUGGUACUGAGACACGGACCAGACUCCUACGGGAGGCAGCAGUGAGGAAUAUUGGGCAAUGGACGCAAGUCUGACCCAGCCAUGCCGCGUGCAGGAUGACUGCCCUAUGGGUUGUAAACUGCUUUUAUUUGGGAAGAAACCCCUGCUCGUGAGCGGGGCUGACGGUACCAAAAGAAUAAGCAUCGGCUAACUCCGUGCCAGCAGCCGGUAAUACGGAGGAUGCAAGCGUUAUCCGGAUUUAUUGGGUUUAAAGGGUGCGCAGGCGGGAAAUUAAGUCAGUGGUGAAAUCCUGCAGCUUAACUGUAGAAUUGCCAUUGAAACUGAUUUUCUUGAGUACAGUUGAGGUGGGCGGAAUGUGUAAUGUAGCGGUGAAAUGCUUAGAUAUUACACAGAACACCGAUUGCGUAGGCAGCUCACUAAACUGUUACUGACGCUCAGGCACGAAAGCGUGGGGAGCGAACAGGAUCAGAUACCCUGGUAGUCCACGCCGUAAACUAUGAUCACUCGUUGUUGGCAAUAAACAGUCAGCGACUAAGCUAAAGCAAUAAGUGAUCCACCUGGGGAGUACGGUCGCAAGAUUGAAACUCAAAGGAAUUGACGGGGGCCCGCACAAGCGGAGGAACAUGUGGUUUAAUUCGAUGAUACGCGAGGAACCUUACCUGGGCUUAAAUGCAGAACGAUUUCCGCCGAAAGGUGGUUUCCUUCGGGCGUUUUGCAAGGUGCUGCAUGGUUGUCGUCAGCUCGUGCCGUGAGGUGUCGGGUUAAGUCCCAUAACGAGCGCAACCCCCAUCGUUAGUUGCCAUCGGGUAAUGCCGGGGACUCUAACGAACUGCCGGUGUAAACCGUGAGGAAGGUGGGGAUGACGUCAAAUCAGCACGGCCCUUAUGUCCAGGGCUACACACGUGUUACAAUGGCCAGUACAAAGGGCAGCUACCUGGUGACAGGAUGCUAAUCUCUAAAACUGGUCUCAGUUCGGAUCGAAGUCUGCAACUCGACUUCGUGAAGGUGGAUUCGCUAGUAAUCGCGCAUCAGCAAUGGCGUGGUGAAUACGU